rnacentral:rRNA from 1 species
UACGUAGGUGGCAAGCGUUGUCCGGAUUUACUGGGCGUAAAGGGCGUGCAGGCGGUCUGUUAAGUGCAGGGUGAAAGCUCCCGGCUCAACUGGGAGAGGUCCUUGCAUACUGGCGGACUUGAGGGGGGUAGAGGAAAGUGGAAUUCCCGGUGUAGUGGUGAUAUGCGUAGAUAUCGGGAGGAACACCAGUGGCGAAGGCGAGUCUCUGGGAUGAUGCUGACGCUGAGGCGCGAAAGCCAGGGGAGCAAACGGG